rnacentral:rRNA from 1 species
GACGAACGCUGGCGGCGUGCCUAAUACAUGCAAGUCGAGCGGACUAAUGGGAGCUUGCUCCCGUUAGUUAGCGGCGGACGGGUGAGUAACACGUGGGCAACCUACCUGUAAGACUGGGAUGUCUUCGGGAAACCGGAGCUAAUACCGGAUGACAUAAAGGAACUCCUGUUCCUUUAUUGAAAGAUGGCCUCGGCUAUCACUUACAGAUGGGCCCGCGGCGCAUUAGCUAGUUGGUGAGGUAACGGCUCACCAAGGCGACGAUGCGUAGCCGACCUGAGAGGGUGAUCGGCCACACUGGGACUGAGACACGGCCCAGACUCCUACGGGAGGCAGCAGUAGGGAAUCUUCCGCAAUGGACGAAAGUCUGACGGAGCAACGCCGCGUGAGCGAUGAAGGCCUUCGGGUCGUAAAGCUCUGUUGUUAGGGAAGAAUAAGUGCUAGUUGAAUAAGCUGGCACCUUGACGGUACCUAACCAGAAAGCCACGGCUAACUACGUGCCAGCCGCCGCAGUAAUAC